GGGCCUGUGGUCUAAUUGGUAUGACGUCUCCCUUGCGAGGAGAAGACUUUGGGUUCGACUCCCAACUGGUCCA
rnacentral:tRNA from 1 species